GAACGCUGGCGGCGUGCUUAACACAUGCAAGUCGAGCGGUAAGGCCCUUUCGGGGGUACACGAGCGGCGAACGGGUGAGUAACACGUGGGUGACCUGCCCUCAGCUCUGGGAUAAGCCUGGGAAACCGGGUCUAAUACUGGAUAUGACUCCAUGACGCAUGUUGUGGGGUGGAAAGCCUUGUGCGGCUGAGGAUGGGCCCGCGGCCUAUCAGCUUGUUGGUGGGGUGAUGGCCUACCAAGGCGACGACGGGUAGCCGGCCUGAGAGGGCGACCGGCCACACUGGGGACUGAGACACGGCCCAGACUCCUACGGGAGGCAGCAGUGGGGAAUCUUGCGCAAUGGGCGAAAGCCUGACGCAGCGACGCCGCGUGAGGGAUGACGGCCUGG
rnacentral:rRNA from 1 species